rnacentral:rRNA from 1 species
UACGAAGGGGGCUAGCGUUGCCCGGAUUUACUGGGCGUAAAGCGCGUGUAGGCGGUUAGAUUAGACUGCUGUGAAAGCCCCCGGCUCAACUGGGGAGGGUCACGCGAUACUGAUCGACUCGAAGGCAGGAGAGGGAAGUGGAAUUCCCGGUGUAGUGGUGAAAUGCGUAGAUAUCGGGAGGAACACCAGUGGCGAAGGCGGCUUACUGGUCCGGAUCUGACGCUGAGGCGCGAAAGCGUGGGGAGCAAACAGG